AAAAGUAAAAGCACAAUUAGGAAAAUGUUUACGGCCACCUAUUAGUUGCGUAAAUGAAGACAAUGAUAUUUAUAACACUGAACGUUGAUCAUGAUUCCCUUUUUUUUCUACAAGUUUUGAAAGUUUACACAAUAAUAGGUUGAACAGUGUCAAAGCGUCAUAAGAGACCAUUAGACGUCUACCCGCUUAAAAUACGGUGAUGUGUAGCUGAAUAGCAAGAUUUCUAUUUCAUAGUCAAAUAAUAUUUACGGUCUAAAGGUCAUUUUUCAAAGCUACAACCGGAAUC